rnacentral:rRNA from 1 species
AGAUGCAAGUCGAGCGGUAGAGAGAAGCUUGCUUCUCUUGAGAGCGGCGGACGGGUGAGUAAUGCCUAGGAAUCUGCCAGGUAGUGGGGGAUAACGUUCGGAAACGGACGCUAAUACCGCAUACGUCCUACGGGAGAAAGCAGGGGACCUUCGGGCCUUGCGCUAUCAGAUGAGCCUAGGUCGGAUUAGCUAGUUGGUGAGGUAAUGGCUCACCAAGGCUACGAUCCGUAACUGGUCUGAGAGGAUGAUCAGUCACACUGGAACUGAGACACGGUCCAGACUCCUACGGGAGGCAGCAGUGGGGAAUAUUGGACAAUGGGCGAAAGCCUGAUCCAGCCAUGCCGCGUGUGUGAAGAAGGUCUUCGGAUUGUAAAGCACUUUAAGUUGGGAGGAAGGGCAGUAAAUUAAUACUUUGCUGUUUUGACGUUACCGACAGAAUAAGCACCGGCUAACUCUGUGCCAGCAGCCGCGGUAAUACAGAGGGUGCAAGCGUUAAUCGGAAUUACUGGGCGUAAAGCGCGCGUAGGUGGUUUGUUAAGUUGGAUGUGAAAUCCCCGGGCUCAACCUGGGAACUGCAUUCAAAACUGACUGACUAGAGUAUGGUAGAGGGUGGUGGAAUUUCCUGUGUAGCGGUGAAAUGCGUAGAUAUAGGAAGGAACACCAGUGGCGAAGGCGACCACCUGGACUAAUACUGACACUGAGGUGCGAAAG